GAUGAACGCUGGCGGCGUGCCUAAUACAUGCAAGUCGAGCGAAUGGAUUAAGAGCUUGCUCUUAUGAAGUUAGCGGCGGACGGGUGAGUAACACGUGGGUAACCUGCCCAUAAGACUGGGAUAACUCCGGGAAACCGGGGCUAAUACCGGAUAACAUUUUGAACCGCAUGGUUCGAAAUUGAAAGGCGGCUUCGGCUGUCACUUAUGGAUGGACCCGCGUCGCAUUAGCUAGUUGGUGAGGUAACGGCUCACCAAGGCAACGAUGCGUAGCCGACCUGAGAGGGUGAUCGGCCACACUGGGACUGAAACACGGCCCAGACUCCUACGGGAGGCAGCAGUAGGGAAUCCUCCGCAAUGGACGAAAGUCUGACGGAGCAACGCCGCGUGAGUGAUGAAGGCUUUCGGGUCGUAAAACUCUGUUGUUAGGGAAGAACAAGUGCUAGUUGAAUAAGCUGACACCUUGACGGUACCUAACCAGAAAGCCACGGCUAACUACGUGCCAGCCGCCGCAGUAA
rnacentral:rRNA from 1 species